rnacentral:sRNA from 1 species
UAAAGGACCAAUGACGUCGUGAGUGAC